GAUUGGUUACCUUGUUACGACUUCACCCCAGCCACGAACCCUGCCGUGGUAAUCGCCCCCCUUGCGGUUAGGCUAACUACUUCUGGCAGAACCCGCUCCCAUGGUGUGACGGGCGGUGUGUACAAGACCCGGGAACGUAUUCACCGCGACUAUCUGAUCCGCGAUUACUAGCGAUUCCGACUUCACGCAGUCGAGUUGCAGACUGCGAUCCGGACUACGACUGGCUUUAUGGGAUUGGCUCCCCCUCGCGGGUUGGCAACCCUCUGUACCAGCCAUUGUAUGACGUGUGUAGCCCCACCUAUAAGGGCCAUGAGGACUUGACGUCAUCCCCACCUUUCUCCGGUUUGUCACCGGCAGUCCCAUUAGAGUGCCCUUUCGUAGCAACUAAUGGCAAGGGUUGCGCUCGUUGCGGGACUUAACCCAACAUCUUACGACACGAGCUGACGACAGCCAUGCAAGCACCU
rnacentral:rRNA from 1 species